rnacentral:tRNA from 1 species
GCCCGCGUAUCGGUGCCGCCUUCUAAGCGGUAAGCCGUAAUUGGAUGAUGCCAGUUCGAAUCUGGCCGUGGGCU